CGCAGACCACUUUAAUCGGACUAGGGGGCCCCAAAGGAGUAUUAUUAUUCUCCCACGGUUUUAAGGAGCGGCGAAGACAUCUUGGAUAAAAUUCCAGCCAUUUUGUACAGGUAGAGGGAAACAAUCCUCGCUACUAAAACUAGUAGAAGAGGCGGCCUCGAAUCACAACUACUAGCCCUGCGACCUCCUGAAGAAACGACCAGUAGUGCUGCCAGCCAUGCUCCCCCGAGAGGUAUACUAUUUUCUACCCCCGUUCAGGCGGAUGUGCACUACUUUGCGUAAUGGAAGAAUUAUUUAUGGAAUGCAGAGGUUUUAAGGCUUAAUGGAGUACUUGCGUACUUAUGAAAGUGAUACAGAAGACUCUGAGUCAAAGGCUUCUGAGGAAAAAGUUGAAGUAUGCGAAAGCCCAACUAUUCUUCCUCUUCCAGAAGUUUUCCAUAAUAAAGAGUUAAAAAAAGUUGAAGUUGAUAGCUUGGGGAGGAUAAGAACUUUCGGUCACGUCCCCGGCAAUUGGGCAACCCACGUCUAUGUUGAAGUACCAAUUUCAGAAAAUCUUUAUGAUUUUUUUGAACAAACUGUUAUAAGGAUGUCAGCACAUACGAAUAUAAAAAC